rnacentral:rRNA from 1 species
AUGGACCAAUCCAUCCCUUUUUCCCGUGCAUAUGCAUCGGACUCGGAUGACGAUGGUCUCGAUGAAGAAGUUGAUGAGGAAGGGUUCACGCCGAAGGAGGCCCAAGCAUUCAAGAAGGUAUUCGGGAAGGACCACAAGACACCAUUGUUCAAGGAUCUUAGUCUCGCGGAUGAAGCCGUUGUGGAUGGUGGCAAAUGCAUAUCUCUUGGAGCUAGGCCAAGUUCUCAC